GGGAAACCCUGAACGAGCAACGCCGCGUGGAGGAUGAAGGCUUUCGGGUCGUAAACUCCUUUUCAGGGAGACGAGAAAGGACGGUAUCCCUGGAAUAAGUCACGGCUAACUACGUGCCAGCAGCCGCGGUAAUACGUAGGUGACGAGCGUUAUCCGGAUUUACUGGGCGUAAAGCGCUUGUAGGUGGUUUUGUAAGUUGGACGUUAAAUCUCCAGGCUCAACUUGGAGAGGCCGUUCAAUACUGCAAGACUAGAGGAUGUCAGAGGAAGGUGGAAUUCCAGGUGUAGUAGUGAAAUGCGUAGAUAUCUGGAGGAACACCCAUGGCGAAGGCAGCCUUCUGGGACAUUCCUGACACUGGGAAGCGAAAGCUAGGGGAGCAAACAGGAUUAGAAACCCUGGUAGUCCACGCUGUAAACGAUGAAUACUAGGUGUUGGCGGCUUUAACCCCGCCAGUGCCGAAGCUAACGCGUUAAGUAUUCCGCCUGGGAAGUACGAUCGCAAGAUUAAAACUCAAAGGAAUUGACGGGGACCCGCACAAGCAGCGGAGCGUGUGGUUUAAUUCGAUGCUACACGAAGAACCUUACCCAGACUUGACAUAUAGGUAGUAGUGAACCGAAAGGGGAACGACCCGCAAGGGAGCCUAUACAGGUGUUGCAUGGCUGUCGUCAGCUCGUGUCGUGAGAUGUUCGUUUAAGUACGCUAACGAGCGCAACCCUUACUGCCAGUUACGAGUGUCUGGCGGGACUGCCGGCCACAAGCCGGAGGAAGGCGAGGACGACGUCAAGUCAGCAUGGCCUUUAUGUCUGGGGCUACACACACGCUACAAUGGGUGCCAACAAUAGGUAGCCAAGCCGCGAGGCGGAGCCAAUCCUCAAAAGCACCCUCAGUUCAGAUUGCAGGCUGCAACCCGCCUGCAUGAAGUUGGAGUUGCUAGUAAACGCGCGUCAGCCAUAGUGCGUUGAAUACGUUCCCGGGUCUUGUACACACCGCCCGUCACACUAUGGGAGCUGGCAAUACCUGAAGUCGGCAGCGUAACCGCAAGGAGCGCACCGCCAAAGGUAGGGCUGGUGACUGGAGUGAAGUCGUACCAAGGUAGCUGUACGGGAACGUGCGGCUGG
rnacentral:rRNA from 1 species